rnacentral:rRNA from 1 species
UACAGAGGGUGCAAGCGUUGUUCGGAAUUAUUGGGCGUAAAGGGCGCGUAGGCGGUGCGGUAAGUCUGUAGUGAAAUCUCUGGGCUCAACUCAGAGUCUGCUGCAGAAACUGCCGUGCUUGAGUGUGGGAGAGGUGAGUGGAAUUCCCGGUGUAGCGGUGAAAUGCGUAGAUAUCGGGAGGAACGCCCGUGGCGAAAGCGAGGCCCUGGACCCUUACUGACGCUGAGACGCGAAAGCCAGGGGAGCGAACGGG